UACGGAGGGUGCAAGCGUUAAUCGGAAUUACUGGGCGUAAAGCGUGCUCAGGCGGUUUGUUAAGUCUGUCGUGAAAUCCCCGGGCUCAACCUGGGAAUGGCGAUGGAUACUGGCGAGCUAGAGUGUGUCAGAGGAUGGUGGAAUUCCCGGUGUAGCGGUGAAAUGCGUAGAGAUCGGGAGGAACAUCAGUGGCGAAGGCGGCCAUCUGGGACAACACUGACGCUGAAGCACGAAAGCGUGGGGAGCAAACAGG
rnacentral:rRNA from 1 species